CCUACGGGAGGCAGCAGUGGGGAAUAUUGCACAAUGGGCGCAAGCCUGAUGCAGCCAUGCCGCGUGUACGAAGAAGGCCUUCGGGUUGUAAAGUACUUUCAGCAGUGAGGAAGGUGGUGUCGUUAAUAGCGGCAUCAUUUGACGUUAGCUGCAGAAGAAGCACCGGCUAACUCCGUGCCGGCAGCCGCGGUAAUACGGAGGGUGCGAGCGUUUAUCGGAAUUACUGGGCGUAAAGCGCAUGCAGGUGGUUUGUUAAGUCAGAUGUGAAAGCCCGGGGCUCAACCUCGGAAUUGCAUUUGAAACUGGCAGACUAGAGUACUGUAGAGGGGGGUAGAAUUUCAGGUGUAGCGGUGAAAUGCGUAGAGAUCUGAAGGAACACCAGUGGCGAAGGCGGC
rnacentral:rRNA from 1 species